rnacentral:rRNA from 1 species
GUGGGGAAUAUUGGACAAUGGGCGAAAGCCUGAUCCAGCCAUGCCGCGUGUGUGAAGAAGGUCUUCGGAUUGUAAAGCACUUUAAGUUGGGAGGAAGGGUAGUAACCUAAUACGUUGCUACUUUGACGUUACCGACAGAAUAAGCACCGGCUAACUUCGUGCCAGCAGCCGCGGUAAUACGAAGGGUGCAAGCGUUAAUCGGAAUUACUGGGCGUAAAGCGCGCGUAGGUGGUUCAGUAAGUUGGAAGUGAAAUCCCCGGGCUCAACCUGAGAACUACUUUAAAAACUGCUGAGCUAGAGUACGGUAGAGGGUGGUGGAAUUUCCUGUGUAGCGGUGAAAUGCGUAGAUAUAGGAAGGAACACCAGUGGCGAAGGCGACCACCUGGACUGAUACUGACACUGAGGUGCGAAAGCGUGGGGAGCAAACAGGAUUAGAAACCCGAGUAGUCC